UAAAAGCGGCAGUUGCUGCAUAUACAAAAGAACAAAAAAUUACAAAUUAUUCAAAAUCAAAACAUCUUCAAUGAUAACUAGAAAUCAAAGAAAGUGCUGGCCUUCUGAUAAAAAUGAAUUCCGUAUGUCGGUUCUGAGAAGACAACAGAGAGCUUGAAAAUAAGUUUGAACACUAAACAACCACAGUCCAAAUAGAAAAGAAAUAAGUUGCGUUCUUUUUUGACUUUAAAGAUGUUGACUAUAAUGUAGACGACGCUGACAGUAACGGUGAGGAUGACUAUUAGAAAUUAAUUCGAAGGUGUUGUCAAUAGGCAACUUCUCCAAAAUUCUAUACACGUUGUUCACGAUGACGGAGCCUCCGUUGAAAACCACAAUACAUUGCUGAUCCUUACUGUUUUAAAAU